rnacentral:rRNA from 1 species
GAGGGUGAAACUCCCGUGUGUCGGACCUUGCAAAGCAAAUUGUCACUGAGUCGAGUUGUUUGGGAUUGCAGCUCCAAUUGUACGGUGGUAAAUUCCAUCUCAAGCUAAAUAUUGGCGGGGGACCGAUAGCGUACAAGUACCGUGAGGGAAAGAUGCAAAGAACUUUGAAAAGAGAGUGAAAGAGUACCUGAAAUUGCUGAAAAGGAAGCGAACGAAGCUAGUGAAAGCUGCGUCAUACUUUCCAACUUGCUUGCAAUUUGGACGCUGUGGCCAGCCCAGUUGAGCUUGAUUGCAACAGGUGAAAGCAGGUAAAGAAAAGACUCCAUUUUCUCUCGCCCUACAUGCACCUAUUACAUUUGAGGUCAACGAAAUAGMUUUGUUUGCCCCGUCUAGAAACACGGACCAAGGAGUCUAACAUAUGUGCGAGUACUGGGGCAACAAACCUCGGUGCGCAAUGAAAGUGUCAGAGGCUGGAAUGUCUUGUACAUUGCACAGUCCGCCGGCC